AUGCGAUUCUUGAGGUGUGUUUGGAAAGGCAAGUCAAACUGAGCAGGCAGCUUUUCCAGAUGUAAAUAAGUCGGUGUUGCCAACCAGGGAAUUUCCGACAGGUUCAUCCUUAUUACAGUCCACAACGACUGAAAACUGCCUCCUCAAAUGACGGUUCAGAUUCGCAUUCGGGUGGCCAGUCUUUACUUGGGAGAUCAAAAGCUACAAACAGCAGCAGUCAAGGGGCAGAGAAAGUCUGUGCCCUCAUCUGACAACAGAUCGAGCAAACCCAGGCGGAGCCACUUACACCAUAUCUAUAAUGACACCCCGCCUUGUGACACCAUCUGCAUUGUGGGCAAUCAGAAAGGCCAGCCCUGAGGCAAGAUAGGAUUCAGAAGUGUUCAGGUCGAAGAGAGAAGAAAAUGAACCAGUGUCUCUACUAAUGAAGGACUGCUGGAAGGUGUAUGUCAUCUCCAUGGAUAGUCCUGCCAUCUUGCGAACAAGUCUGAUGAGCCUUUGUUGCAAUCCCUCUCUGGCCAUAAUAUCUUUCCUGAGAUGAGGAAACCAAAAAACCCUCUCGUUGCAAUCUCUCCAUCACACAGUACUCCAAGUGUGGUCGAACCAAGCUCCCAUACAAUUGAAGCAAGCCUUCACUAGUCCUGUACUUAAAUAAUUUCGCAAUAAAGGCCAA